rnacentral:rRNA from 1 species
GAUAAACGCUGGCGGCGUGCAUAACACAUGCAAGUCGAACGAUGAACCUUAUUAGAUUUCUUCGGAAUGAAAUUAAGCGGAUUAGUGGCGAACGGGUGAGUAACACGUGAGUAACCUGCCUUACACAAGGGGAUAGCCUUUGGAAACGAAGAAUAAUACCCUAUAAAGUCAAAAUAUCGCAUGAUAUAGUGACCAAAGAUUUAUCGGUGUAAGAUGGACUUGCGUCUGAUUAGCUAGUUGGUGAGAUAAAAGCCCACCAAGGCGACGAUCAGUAGCCGGCUUGAGAGAGUGUACGGCCACAUUGGGACUGAGACGCGGCCCAAACUCCUACGGGAGGCAGCAGUGGGGAAUUUUGCACAAUGGGGGAAACCCUGAUGCAGCGACGCCGCGUGAUUUAGAAGGCCUUCGGGUUGUAAAAAUCUUUUUUAUGGGAUGAAAAUGACAGUACCAUAAGAAUAAGGUCCGGCUAAAUACGUGCCAGCAGCCGCGGUAAUACGUAUGGACCGAGCGUUGUCCGGAAUCAUUGGGCGUAAAGGGUACGUAGGCGGCCUAGUAAGUUAGAAGUGAAAUAAUAUAGCUCAACUAUAUAAAGCUUUUAAAACUGUUAGGCUUGAGAGAUGAAAGGGAAAGUGGAAUUCCUAGUGUAGCGGUGAAAUGCGCAGAUAUUAGGAAGAAUACCGGUGGCGAAGGCGACUUUCUGGUCAUCAUCUGACGCUGAGGUACGAAAGCGUGGGUAGCAAACAGG